GGGGCCGUAGCUCAGUGGAAGAGCAGUCCGCUCCAAACGGAAGGAUCGCGCGUUCGAAUCGUGCCGGCCUCGCCA
rnacentral:tRNA from 1 species